AUUGAACGCUGGCGGCAUGCUUUACACAUGCAAGUCGAACGGUAACAGGCCUUCGGGUGCUGACGAGUGGCGAACGGGUGAGUAGUGCAUCGGAACGUGCCCAGAGGUGGGGGAUAAGGCAGCGAAAGCUGUGCUAAGACAGCAUGUGAUCGGAGGAUGAAAGCGGGGGACCGGGCAGCAAUGUUUGGCCGGGCGCCUUUGGAGCGGCCGAUGUCAGAUUAGUUAGUUGGGGGGGUAAAGGCCUACCAAGCGGACGAUCUGUAGCUGGUCUGAGAGGACGACCAGCCACACUGGGACUGAGACACGGCCCAGACUCCUACGGGAGGCAGCAGUGGGGAAUUUUGGACAAUGGGCGCAAGCCUGAUCCAGCAAUGCCGCGUGCGGGAAGAAGGCCUUCGGGUUGUAAACCGCUUUUGUACGGAACGAAAAGGCUCUGGCUAAUACCUGGGGCUGAUGACGGUACCGUAAGAAUAAGCACCGGCUAACUACGUG
rnacentral:rRNA from 1 species